AACCGACUUUGGAGGUAUCAGAAGGGAGAAUGCAGGAAUAAGUAGCGAGAAAGGGGGCGAGAAUCCCCCUCGCCGGAAGACCAAGGUUUUCAGGGUAAAGCUUGUCUUCCCUGAGUAAGCCGGGACCUAAGCUCAGGCUAUAUUGCGUAGGCGAAUGGAAAACAGAUAAAUAUUUCUGUGCCAGUCAUAUAUUGUGAUGGAGGGACGCAGAAGGGUAUGCGCGCGGACGAACGGAAGUGUCCGUAGAAGCAUGUAGGAUGACUUGAUAGGUAAAACCAUUGAGUUAUAUCUGAGGUAUGAUAUACAGUCGUAAGAUGAAUGCGCAAAUCCCACGCUGCCAAGAAAAGCUUCUAACGUUAAUAUUUGACUGCCCGUACUGCAAACCGACACAGGUGGUCAGGAUGAGAAAUCUAAGGCGGACAGGCUAACUCUCGUUAAGGAACUCUGCAAAAUAACCUCGUAACUUCGGGAGAAGAGGAGCCCUUGAGGGUCAGUAUCCACGCGAUACAAAGCGCUCGAGGGUCGCAGUGAAGAGGCUCAAGCAACUGUUUAACAAAAACACAGGUCUAUGCUAAGCUGGAAGGCGAUGUAUAUG
rnacentral:rRNA from 1 species